AAAAACUAUUUUUAGAAACCAAGGUAAUAUCGUACUGGCUGGUUACCUAAUGCCAAGUGGCGGAAAAAUAUUCAACACAGAGAGGGGAGCCCUACUAAUUGCCAAGCGGCAUGAGAGGCUCAAUCUAUGAGUUGGCCAGAGGGGAUUUUGUGGCCACCGAAAAUGUGUCUGUGACUAGUAAAGCAAAAGAUAGCAUGGGAGUGACACGGGGAGCCCCUCUCUAUACCACCAUGUGAAUGGGCCUUGCGGGACCACUCAAAGGCAAGAAGGCCAGAAAGUCUAAAUAGGCGGACUCUAAAACCUAUCAGCCAG